rnacentral:rRNA from 1 species
AGAAUCAACGCUGGCGGCGUGCCUAACACAUGCAAGUCGAACGCGAAAGGGGAGCAAUCCCUGAGUAGAGUGGCAAACGGGUGAGUAACACGUGGGUGACCUGCCUCAGAGUGGGGGAUAACGUCCCGAAAGGGACGCUAAUACCGCAUAACAUCCUGCCUUUGGAAAGGCGGAGAUCAAAGCCGGGAUCGCAAGACCUGGCGCUUGGAGAGGGGCCCGCGUCUGAUUAGCUAGUUGGUAGGGUAAUGGCCUACCAAGGCAACGAUC